UUACAAAAAAGACCGAUAUUAAUUAAGGCUUAGUUUGGUAUUAAGGCCCAUCUAACGGUAUUAGGCAAAGUAUAUAGGAAUAGGCUUCUGUGUUCUCCGGUGAGACCAUAGAAAAUAUAUUGUAAUUUACUAAUCGCGAUAUGUAGAAUGUAAUAUUACGUACGAAAACAAGUAUGGUAUUUUCACAUCGUACUUUCUCACCGAGUGUAAUGUAAUUUCUCUACAAUUCCAAACGAAGCCUAAGAAGGUUCGAGUCGAAAAAUAUUAAAGUUGAGGGUCCCAUUCCAAAGUGCCCUAUAGUUGAGGGAAUCUCCAUACAUUCUCACCUAAUAAAAAAUAAAUAAAGAUUAGGAACGGCUUAGAAUUAAAUGGCUUAGUUAUUAACUAAGUUGGGCGUGAUAUGUUGGUUCUUAAUUAGAGCACGUCUCUUUGCGUUGCAUAAAGUAAAUUAAAACAAAAUUGAAUUGGGAUCUGCCCCUGCACAUAGAAAGUAUAUAGUUAUCAUCUGAGGCAGUUCUUUGACUUUUAUUUCGUAAUAUUUUUUUUGGGCAAAGAGAAUGACUCUCCAUCUGAAGUAACUUGGGAAUAUGCUGUGAGUUGCUCGUACAAAUACCUGAAAUUAAUAGAAUAUAUGUUGAUGAACAACUAAAGUGGUGUGAGUGCAUAUUUGGAGUGCUCAAAGAGAAAAUAAUGGAAGGAACUAUGCAACAUUAGUGGGGGAGAGUUUUGACAUGCUCACGCAUUUUACGUGUGCGGAUCGCGAUAUGUAGAAUGUAAUACUAUGUACGAAAACAAACAUGCUAUUUUCAUAUCGUACUUUCUCACUGAAUGUAAUGUAAUCUCUCUGCAAUUCCAAACGAAGCCUAAGAAGGUUCGAGUCGAAAAAUAUUAAAGUUGAGG
rnacentral:lncRNA from 1 species